rnacentral:rRNA from 1 species
CCUACGGGAGGCAGCAGUGGGGAAUAUUGCACAAUGGGCGAAAGCCUGAUGCAGCGACGCCGCGUGCGGGAAGAAGGCCUUCGGGUUGUAAACCGCUUUCAAUUGGGAAGAAGAGAUGAGCGCUAAUAUCGCUCUGAUUUGACGGUACCUUUAGAAGAAGCACCGGCUAAUUUCGUGCCAGCAGCCGCGGUAAUACGAAAGGUGCAAGCGUUGUUCGGAUUUACUGGGCGUAAAGAGAUCGUAGGUGGUUUGUUAAGUCGGAUGUGAAAUCCCAAGGCUCAACCUUGGAACUGCAUUCGAUACUGGCAGGCUAGAGUUUGGGAGGGGUAAGCGGAAUUCCGUGUGUAGCAGUGAAAUGCGUAGAUAUACGGAGGAACACCUGAGGCGAAGGCGGCUUACUGGACCAAUACUGACACUGAGGAUCGAAAGCGUGGGUAGCAAACAGGAUUAGAUACCCUGGUAGUCCACGCCCUAAACGAUGUCAACUAGCCGUAGCGGGUAUCGACCCCUGCUGUGGCGAAGCUAACGCGAUAAGUUGACCGCCUGGGGAGUACGGUCGCAAGAUUAAAACUCAAAGGAAUUGACGG